rnacentral:misc_RNA from 1 species
UGUUGGGUAGAGGCGCAGGAGUAUGUGGCGAGGGGUUAUGUGGCGCGUGACGGAGCCGACGUCGUGACUCUGGCAAGGAUUGGGACGCGAGGUGGACUUGUGUGGGAGCAGCGGUGCCACUCGGAGACCUUCUCCCCAGCCAGCAGCAACGAGGCACUUCAGGAGGCAACUGGUCGCGUGUCCCCGCCUGUAGCUUGUGUCCUGGCCUGUAGCCUGUGUCCUCGCGUGUAGCCUGUGUCCUCACGUGUAGCCUGUGUCCUCAUCUGCAGGGUGUGUCCUCACAGCUCACUCCACACCUGUCUCAAGGUGUAGUGGUGUAGCCCCCUAGCCUACCAACCGAAGCAACGGGUCAACCAAUCUCAACCACAAACAUCCACUCACCCACAACCACCACCACCAUAACAACAUCUGCUUCUCUGCUCAAGCUGUUGACCACAGAACAGGUCUGCUGAGCCAACAGGGACACCAGGGGGUCCCUGUGGUGUUGUCUGAGGUCGCUGUCUACCUGUCCCGCUGAAGGACCAGGCCCCUCCCCCCGCCAACAUACUCGGAGCCAUCUGUGAGUGCACUCCACCAGAAACCGCCAAAAUUUCCUUCUCAAGCUUUAAAGCCUCGUUCUCCAGCAAUGUUAAUUACCUCAAGAGAAGCGUGCAGACCUCGUCCACCUCCGCGAUGGAGGUCCUUGCUGGCAGCCCCUUGACGGAGCCUCGCUUCAGAAGGAACAGGUUUUCCUCUGGGGACCUCUCUGCCGAGUGUGACGACGAAGAGACGGGUCUCCGUAAACAAGAAGUUAUUACCCAACAGGCUGAGAGGCAGCAAGCGUCGCCCGGGACGCCACAGUCCCGAAGACAGUCUCAGAGUCAAUCACAAGACCAACCUCAGGCCUUGGUACAGACCCAACCUCAGGGCCAACCUCAGGGCCAACCUCAGGGCCAACCUCAGGGCCAACCUCAGGGCCCACCUCAGGGCCCACCUCAGGGCCCACCUCAGGGGCCAGUUAAAGCCCAGCCCAGAGUUCAACCUCAGCAGGUAAGCAGUAACAGCAGCAGUGUGGUGGGCGGCGGCGGCGGCGGAGGCGGGGGCGGCACCACCACGUACGCCAGCACGGACACCACCACCGCCGCCCCCGCGCCCCCCACCAGCGGGUCGACGGGGGGCGGCGGGGGCGGCGGGGGUGGCGGGGGUGGCGGCGGCUCCGGAGGCUUCAGCCUUAACUUCUCCAGACCCGGGUCCAGGACCACCUCCGCUCCCUCCUCUCCCUCCAAGACUAGGGAGAGCUUCCUCCAGCGCGUGUCGUCGCUGACGGGCGCAGUGCGCAGCGAGGUGACGGCGCAGGUCCGCCCAGCCUACAACAAGGACCGCUGCUUCACUCUCCUGGUUAUUGACGACCAGAACACCGACUGGUCUAAGUACUUCCGGGGCAAGCGUAUCCACGGAGACUGGGACAUCCGGGUGGAGCAGGCGGAGUUCCGGGAGAUAAGCGUCACAGCCUCCUCCGAGGGCGGCGUCAAUGUCUCCAUGGUCGUCUUCAGGAACGGGGCCAAGGUCGUCAGAUCCUUCAAGCCGGACUUCGUCUUGAUACGACAGAACUUACGGGACGCCGGCGAGGACCACAAGAACAUCCUCCUGGCGCUCAAGUUCGGUGGUGUACCUUCCAUUAACAGCAUCAACGCCAUCUACAACUUCCAGGACAAGCCGUGGGUGUUCGCCCACCUGCUGGAGGUCCAGAAGAAGCUGGGCAAGGAACGCUUCCCUCUCAUUGAGCAGAGUUACUUCCCUAACCACAAGGAAAUGAUGUCAGCGCCCCGGUACCCGUGCGUGUUCAAGAUCGGGCACGCCCACGGCGGCCUGGGCAAGAUCCGGGUGGAGAGCAACGCCGACUUCCAGGACAUGGCCAGCGUGGUGGCGGUGGCCAACACCUACUGCACCACUGAGCCCUACAUCGACGCCAAGUUCGAUAUUCACAUUCAGAAGAUCGGCGCCAUGUACAAGUGCUUCCAGAGAAAGUCCAUCUCCGGUAACUGGAAGACGAACACCGGGUCGGCCAUGCUGGAGCAGGCAGCUAUGACGGAGCGGUACAAGGCCUGGGUUGAUGAGGUGUCGUCGCUGUUCGGGGGCUUGGACAUCUGCGCCAUCGAGGCGAUCGUGGACAAGGGCGGCAACGAACACAUCAUCGAAGUCAACGACUCUGCCUUGACGCUCAUGGGAGACUCUCAGGAGGACGACCGUCGCUACAUAGCCGAACUCGUAGCCAUCAAGAUGCAGGAAAGCUGCGGGGUCCAGGGCGUGACGCGGCCGUUGGAGCUGACGCGGGGUUUGUCGAGGCAGUCGCUGACCGGAACCUCCACUGCCUUGUCGUCCCGUGGCGGCUCUCCGACCGAGGAAACUUCCUCCCGGCUGGGCAUGAGCGAGACGCCUCUCCCUGGCGGGUCACCUAGCCAGCAGCGACGGGACUCCCAGGCGUCUCAGUCUAGCAGCAUCAGCGGGUUCAGCAGCGCCAGUGGAACCCGACGACAACCUGACGAGAGCAGCCAGUCGUCGCAGCAGUCGGCGGCGCAGAAGGCACCACUCUUCGGCCGCCAGACCUCAGUCACCACCACCGCCUCCAACGACAGCACAGUCGGAGGAGGAGGAGAUGACACCGAGGACACCAUGAAGAACCUGCGCAAGACCUUCGCUGGUAUCUUCGGGGAUAUGUAACCUGAAGGAGGAGGAGGACGGCAAUAUCAAGAGCUCUCACAAGAAGGGGAAUACUGCCGCACAAGAUUAUCGUGAAGGCGUGCAUCCUCUUCAAAUCUGCAGCAUACACAGGGACUUGUGAAGUGCAGAAGGAUGGCAGUCGAAGUUCACACACGCAAAGAACACCGCAAACCAAAGCAGAAAAUAAUUCAGCCUCAAAAUGAAGGCUGGUGUCCUGUGCAGUCCCUGCUAUAUUGUUAAGUCUACUUAAGGGAGGACAGGAACUCACACACAAGACUACACUCCAACUACAGAGGAAGAAAAGUCGUUAACGACGAAGGUGCUCGUCCUCUGGAGAAGACAUCCACCGCUAACCCUAGUCACUAACAUCAUCGGCUCAAAUUAGACUUAGAUCUUGGGAUAAUCUGCCUUAAACUAUCUCGAAACAAUUACGAAACGCAUGUAGAUAAGCUCUCCUCAUUCACUCACAAUAAGUACGUUUAUUUUUGCCAUCUAAGUUGAGUAUAAACACUUACUCAUGUCAUGCCUCCCUGAAGAAAGGAAUUUUACCUAGGAAAUGCGCACUUCAAGAUGCCUCUCCUCACCUGGACUGUCGAGCCUCGGUCAGGAUGCUUGCUAUAAUGUUUUGUACAUGUGAACGACAGCAGCCUCGCUGAGACGCUCUUAAGUCGCCUUACUGGUGGAUUCUGGGUUUUAAUGUUGUUAUUGUUUUCAUUAUAAACAGUGAAUUAGUCAGAGUUGUAGGGAAAGCUGUCCCAAAUCCUUAAUGUUUAUAAAACGAAAACACUUACGUAUUUCUUGAACGCAAACAUCCAAGCUUAUCCUUGGGAUGCCGGUUUACAGUUAUUCUCCCAAAUCAUCCACCAGUAAUGCCAAAUAAUUGCUUAAAAAGUAUUGUUGAUGUUGCAGAAGUUUCCAGGGCUGUGGUGUGAACAGAGGAGCUGUAGAACGAUACUGUGAACCCCUGUAGUGUUAUUUACAAGACUAGGCUAUGAGCUUUAGAGUUGAAAUAGAUGAGGGAGAAGCCUCUGUUAUAAAGGCUGUAUUAAAUAAUGUAAUACAGAGUAUUGUUUAUCUAAUUUAUUAUUGUUGGGUCUUGAACGAGUCUUUCCAACGAUUUCCUUAAGUCCGCGAGUUCGUAAGUCCACAGCGCGCGUGCCCGUGCUUUCGUACUUCAGGCAACCAGUCGACGCCCGAAAGUUGCUAGAUAGUGUGCAUUCAGGGACUACGUUACUGUUUAUGUAGGUAGCAAUGUCAGUCAGAGCUAGACUGCUCGAACCUGCAGUGCCGCAUCCUGCAACCUUCGACUAAACCAAGUUUAAGACAUUGAAUGUUAUGGUGAGGGGAAAUGAGUGAUGGUUGUGGCCUGCCAGGGAGGUGGAGAGCACGGGUUACCCGCCAGUCUCUGGGGCUUGUGUAUUUGAUGACCUUACCAAUGUUGUUAGCAAUAUCCUGUGUGUUGUUUUAUCCCGUGGGUGGAACACUUCUGGCUGUUUGUGCUGUGUGUGGACCUUGAUGUGUUUGUCUCUUAUUGACUUUUGUGAUUGUCUAUUCUCUAGAAUUUUGAUGCUCUCAAUAGAUACUGUAGCAACGGUGGGAAGACACUGAGCUCUGAACGGUAAGUGCUGUAAAGUCUUUGUUUCCAACAGUUUAGUGCGUAGGAAUAAGCCUUAUGGACCCGUGGCAGAGCUCAGUGUUGCUGCCGGGGUAACGUUAUGACUGUUGUCCAGUAUGGAACAUCGGAUGCCUUGGUAUAAUAUAAUUCGUAAAAUACAUGUUGAGCCUAAAUGUAAUAAUGUUGACAAAUCAGAAGAAAGCAUCUCACGACACUCAAUUUAAUUUUUUCUUUUGUUUUGGCGGAGUGUGCUUGUGUUUGUUCGUGAGCCAGUAAUGGUGGGCGCCUGUCCUAGUUUCUCGCGGGGACAUGUAUCCCUCGGGUGGGUAACUUACCUCAACAUAGGGGCAAGCUUUCAUCCACAAUCACUUUUCUGUUCUGGUUGUAUUGGGUACGGUUGAAGUGAAUCUCUUUCCCAAGCAAGAUUAACUCUCCUGUGUUACAUCGAGGGAGUGCGUCUCAAGUCUUACAUUCGUACUGUCAGUCUUUUAUCAAACCACUUAUUUUUUGUCUCAAAUAUUUACGAACGAUGAAUGCAGCCAAAAUCAACAACCCACAGUUUUUUAAAUGAUAUCACGAGGCGCUCUGGUGGGAAGUUUGACUCGGAAUUUGAACCACGAUCUCUCCGGGCCUUGCCUUGUUCCUCACUUUUAAUCUUGUUGCUCCCAGCCUCUGUUUUAUCUUGAUAAAACAGAGGCUUCACAACUUGCCUUAUUCAAACACCUUCCUCCUAUUCCCCUACCAGACAUCUCUUACAUCUAUCUUGUGGAAUAUUUGAUGCCAAAAAAGCCUCAUUACCUCUCUUGAAACCCUAGAUUGUUAUUAUAUAUUAUGGAUUAGAUACUUCACAGAAUUACUGGUCCGCGCGAUAACUAGGAGGAUGACCCUGUGUCGUGGGUGAACACUGGAUGUGUGAGUGUGUGUGUGUGGAUGUACCGCACCUGUGGGUGUAUACUGGAUGUGUGUGGGUGUACAGCACCUGUCGUGGGUGUACACUGGAUGUGUGAGUGUGUGUGUGGGUGUGCCGCACCUGUCGUGGGUGUACACUGGAUGUGUGAGUGUGUGUGUGGGUGUGCCGCACCUGUCGUGGGUGUACACUGGAUGUGUGUGUGUGGGUGUACUGUACUAAAGCUCUCCCACCAUAUCCAUGUUUAGCCUUGACUUCGUCGCUUGUUAAUUGGUUUUUACAUUGUUGAUAUUGGAGACAGCUGAUUGGCACUGCCAUAGGUAUAUAGGUUAUAUCCAUGUCUGGGACAACGCGUGAGAAGGAUUACAAAAAUAACAUAAAUGAGCUAAAUUAACUAUCGAUGUGUAAAGAUAACAUAGUGUGAAUUUUUAUGCAAUACCCGUAGUUGGUUUGUGGUGGGCGGAGGAGGCAGCCGCGACCACUGGAGCAGCUGGAGCUGAGUGGGGCGGUUACUCACAAUACUGCCAGGUGGUGAAGCUUGACACUCAGCACAGCCAGGUAGUGAAGCUUGACACUCAGCACAGCCAGGUAGUGAAGCUUGACACUCAGCACAGCCAGGUAGUGAAGCUUGACACUCAGCACAGCCAGGUGGUGAAGCUUGACACUCAGCACAGCCAGGUAGUGAAGCUUGACACUCAGCACAGCCAGGUGGUGAAGCUUGACACUCAGCACAGCCAGGUAGUGAAGCUUGACACUCAGCACAGCCAGGUAGUGAAGCUUGACACUCAGCGCUGCCAGGCGAUAAAGCCAGACACUCAACGCUGCCAGGCGAUAAAGCCAGACACUCAACGCUGCCAGGCCAUAAAGCCAGACACUCAACGCUGCCAGGCGAUAAAGCCAGACACUCAACGCAGCCAGGCGAUAAAGCCAGACACUCAACGCUGCCAGGCCAUAAAGCCAGACACUCAACGCUGCCAGGCGAUAAAGCCAGACACUCAACGCUGCCAGGCGAUAAAGCCAGACACUCAACGCUGCCAGGCGAUAAAGCCAGACACUCAACGCUGCCAGGCCAUAAAGCCAGACACUCAACGCAGCCAGGCCAUAAAGCCAGACAUUCAACGCAGCCAGGCCAUAAAGCCAGACACUCAACGCUGCCAGGCCAUAAAGCCAGACAUUCAACGCUGCCAGGCCAUAAAGCUUGACACUUUGCACUGCCAGACAACAAAAUCACAAUGCAGCAACUCAAAUGAACACCACAAGUUGUGAGCAAGGUUAUGGAAAUAUAGAUAUCAGAGUGUUGACCAAUAGAUUCAAAUUCCUUUCUGCGUCCCCCUACCCCCUUCCUCACUAAACCACAUCAACACACUUUGGAAUACUAAAAUCACUUUGAGAACUCAAAGAACACCCUGCUUUAGCGCCACUGGUCGCUGCCGUCUGCCUCACGUUGCCAACGCUUCACUCAGAUUUGUGUUUCAAUUUUUAAAUAGAGAUUUCGUGAAUGUAUUGUGUAAAUUUAUAUAUACAUAUUUUUUUGGUGUAUCAUAAAGCAGCUUACUUAAUCCAUAAUGAUUUGAGUGCCGGUGGUUCUAAGCCUCAGAUCCUCCUCCGUGGUUCUAGUCUUCAGAUCCUCUACUGGUGGUUCUAGUCCUUGGAUCCUCUACUGGCGGUUCUAAUCCUCUGAUCCUCUACCGGCGGUUCUAGUCCUCGGAUCCUCUACCAGCGGUUCUAGUCCUCUACCGGCGGUUCUAGUCCUCGGAUCCUCUACCGGCGGUUCUAGUCCUUGAAUCCUCUACCAGCGGUUCUAGUCUUCAGAUCCUCUACUGGUGGUUCUAGUCCACGGAUCCUCUACCGGCGGUUCUAGUUCUCUGAUCCUCUACCGGCGGUUCUAGUCCUCUGAUCCUCUACCGGCGGUUCUAGUCCUUGGAUCCUCUACCGGCGGUUCUAGUCCUCUGAUCCUCUACCGGCGGUUCUAGUCCUCGGAUCCACUACCGGCGGUUCUAGUCCUCGGAUACUCUACUGUCGGUUCUAGUCCUUGGAUCCACUACCAGCGGUUCUAGUCCUCGGAUCCUCUACCGGUGGUUCUAGUCCUCGGAUCCUCUUUCGCCGGGGGUUGUAGUACUCAAAUCAUCUAUUGGCAGUUCUAGUCCUCAGAACCUUAAUCAAUGGUUCCAGACCUCAGAACCUCUAUCAGUGGUACUAGACCAAACUCAGAUUCUUUUCGAAGAUGGACUUUGUUACAUUUCAUAUUUAUAAUUCAAUAAUAAUUUAAUUAUGUAAAGGAGGUAAAAUAAUUAAAAAUAGCAUCAAAUUAUACAAUAAAUCGUUCAGUGAGUAUUUAAUAGCUGAGGAUGAAUAAUAUUUUGAGCCAAUUUUGGGCCAAUUAUAUAUAUAUUAUAAAUUUUACUCUAUAUGAAAAUAUCAACAAUUUUCCUUUUCAACAACUAUAUUAUUUCCAAUUGUUAAUUUAUUUUAUUAAUGGUGUCUGUAAAGAUGCUAUUUAUGAGUUGAGGACGGACAAACGGUAAUGCUGUAUGCCUUCUCCCCUGCGCAGGCGCGGAUCUUGGCGCCUAAGUUGGCAGAUGGAGUAAUAAUCACUGUGACGUAAUAAAAACAACUACGUCGGGCACAUAUAAUAGGAACAAUCACAUUAACUCUAAUGAUAUCAUUCAAGCAGUUACGUUGACCUAGUAGUUACUGACGUUGCUAAAGCAGCCAAUCACGACAGAACACCUAUUGACUCAAUGAGUCUAAAACAGUCAUUCACAUUAACAUAUCAGUUAAAGUCGUAAUUAAUAAUAAUGUUAAUAAUGGCAUCACAAGAGAAGGAAAACACAAGCCCAAUACCUAAAUGACAUUAAAUUAAUCUGCCUGUGCAGCAUUUAAAGUUGUCAUUGCAAGGUCCUGUUGCUAGGCAACUGUCUCCACCAUGAGUGUGCAGGCUAUACCUCUAAUUCAAUGGGUUAUAUUACGAUCAGCCCACCAUCCAUUGAUUGGAAAUAACUAUGGCUUCGUCAACCGUUUGUGGCACGCUAAUAUUAUAACACCAUUCCAAAAGUCAAAGCACAUGCUCGCCCUUCGGCUCCAGAGGUCCAAAUCCUGCCUUCAAAUGACCCUCACCCAGGCUCCUGAUACCCCUCGCCCUUCUUCCAAAUAACACCCGCUUCUAUAUAUCCCGCCCCCCAAUCCCAGGCUUCCAUAGGACCCAUCCAAAUUGUCCCAACUCCCAUACAACCCCUUUUGAAGCAUCCAAACGACAGACUCCUUCCGUAAUCCCAUCCCCGGUCUCUCAUAGGCCAAGCAUCGCCACUAAGAAAACCGGUAAGAUAUAAGUAGCACGCAACCUUUCCCUUACACCAAAUAUUUCAUCCAACUAUGUAAUAUGCGUUUCGGUGCAUCCUUCAACAUUUUAGCUUUCGUGAAUUAUAAUUUAUAUUUACAUUUAAUGAUUUGUAGGUGAAACCCAUAAAAAUAAAUACCUUUUUGUACAUAAGUAUCUGUUAAUGUAAAUUUAUGUACAUAUACAUUGCUGUCACGUUCAUUGACUUUUGUUUAGUUGUCCCUCGACGACAGAGUGGCAUUUGUAAACAUAAGAGUGAAUUAUGUGUCGUCCA